rnacentral:rRNA from 1 species
UACGAAGGGGGCUAGCGUUGCUCGGAAUUACUGGGCGUAAAGCGUGCGCAGGCGGUUAUAUAAGACAGUUGUGAAAUCCCCGGGCUCAACCUGGGAACUGCAUCUGUGACUGUAUAGCUAGAGUACGGUAGAGGGGGGAUGGAAUUCCGCGUGUAGCAGUGAAAUGCGUAGAUAUGCGGAGGGACACCGAUGGCGAAGGCAAUCCCCUGGACCUGUACUGACGCUCAUGCACGAAAGCGUGGGGAGCAAACAGG